UACGUAGGCAGCGAGCGUUGUUCGGAGUUACUGGGCGUAAAGAGUGCGUAGGCGGUGCUCUAAGUUUGGUGUGAAAUCUCCCGGCUCAACUGGGAGGGUGCGCCGAAAACUGGAGUGCUCGAGUAUGGGAGAGGUAAGCGGAAUUCCUGGUGUAGCGGUGAAAUGCGUAGAUAUCAGGAGGAACACCCGUGGCGAAGGCGGUUCUCUGGGACGGUACUGACGCUGAGACGCGAAAGCGUGGGGAGCGAACAGG
rnacentral:rRNA from 1 species